GAUGAACGCUGGCGGCGUGCCUAAUACAUGCAAGUCGAGCGAACAGACGAGGAGCUUGCUCCUUCGACGUUAGCGGCGGACGGGUGAGUAGCACGUAGGUAACCUACCUAUAAGACUGGGAUAACUUCGGGAAACCGGAGCUAAUACCGGCUAAUAUUUCGAACCGCAUGGUUCGAUAGUGAAAGAUGGCUUUGCUAUCACUUAUAGAUGGACCUGCGCCGUAUUAGCUAGUUGGUAAGGUAACGGCUUACCAAGGCAACGAUACGUAGCCGACCUGAGAGGGUGAUCGGCCACACUGGAACUGAGACACGGUCCAGACUCCUACGGGAGGCAGCAGUAGGGAAUCUUCCGCAAUGGGCGAAAGCCUGACGGAGCAACGCGGCGUGAGUGAUGAAGGUCUUCGGAUCGUAAAACUCUGUUAUUAGGGAAGAACAAACGUGUAAGUAACUGUGCACGUCUUGACGGUACCUAAUCAGAAAGCCACGGCUAACUACGU
rnacentral:rRNA from 1 species